CGCCUGCCGGCGACCGGCGCACGGGUGAGUAACACGUAUGGAACCUGCCCGCCACAGGGGGAUAACUCGGGGAAACCCGGCCUAAUACCCCAUGCCGCCCGGACCGGGCAUCCGGUCCGGGCGAAAGGAGGAAUCCGGUGGCGGCUGGGCAUGCGGCGCAUUAGCUUGACGGCGGGGUAACGGCCCACCGUGGCGACGAUGCGUAGGGGUUCUGAGAGGAAGGCCCCCCACACUGGAACUGAGACACGGUCCAGACUCCUACGGAAGGCAGCAG
rnacentral:rRNA from 1 species